AAUGAACGUUGGCAGCGUGGAUUAGGCAUGCAAGUCGAGCGACAAGGUCCCUUCGGACGUGGAGGAGGCGGCGAAACGGGGUAAGGUAAGUACAUCGGAACGGUACCCGUCACGUCUGGGAGUAGCCACGGGAAACGUGUGGGUAAUACUGGAGUAAUACUCACCACUUGUGAAGAGUGGUGAGCAAAGGUCCGCCGCGUGAGGAGCGGCCGAUGCGAUACUAGAUAGUUGGUGGGGUAAUGGCCUACCAAGUCUAAGAUGUCUAGGGGGUGGUGAGAGCAUGGCCCCCACCACUGGGGACUGAGACACUGCCCAGACACCUACGGGGUGGCUGCAGUCGAGAAUCUUUGGCAAUGGGGCGCAAGCCUGACCAAGCGACGCUGCGUGCGGGAUGAAGGCCC
rnacentral:rRNA from 1 species